rnacentral:rRNA from 1 species
GAUGAACGCUAGCGAUAGGCCUAACACAUGCAAGUCGAGGGGCAUCACAUGAGGCAGCAAUGCCGAUGGUGGCGACCGGCGCACGGGUGAGUAACACGUAUGCAACCUGCCUUCAACAAGGGGAUAACCCGUUGAAAAACGGACUAAUACCCUAUAAUACAGGGGUCCCGCAUGGGGAUAUUUGUUAAAGAUUGAUCGGUUGAAGAUGGGCAUGCGUUCCAUUAGCUGGUUGGUGAGGUAACGGCUCACCAAGGCAACGAUGGAUAGGGGGAACUGAGAGGUUUAUCCCCCACACUGGUACUGAGACACGGACCAGACUCCUACGGGAGGCAGCAGUGAGGAAUAUUGGUCAAUGGACGCAAGUCUGAACCAGCCACGUCGCGUGAAGGAAGACGGCCCUACGGGUUGUAAACUUCUUUUAUACGGGAAUAAAGUGCCCCACGCGUGGGGUUUUGCAUGUACCGUAUGAAUAAGGAUCGGCUAACUCCGUGCCAGCAGCCGCGGUAAUUACG